UCGACGUAGGGCGUUUGUUAAAGUCAGAUGUGAAAGCCCGGGGCUCAACCUCGGAAUUGCAUUUGAAACUGGCAAACUAGAGUACUGUAGAGGGGGUAGAAUUUCAGGUGUAGCGGUGAAAUGCGUAGAGAUCUGAAGGAAUACCGGUGGCGAAGGCGGCCCCCUGGACAGAUACUGACACUCAGAUGCGAAAGCGUGGGGAGCAAACAGGAUUAUAUACCCUGGUAG
rnacentral:rRNA from 1 species